GAUGAACGCUAGCUACAGGCUUAACACAUGCAAGUCGAGGGGAAACGAUGAGAGAGCUUGCUCUCUUAGGCGUCGACCGGCGCACGGGUGAGUAACGCGUAUCCAACCUACCCAUUACAGGGGGAUAACCUUGCGAAAGUAAGACUAAUACCCCAUGGCAUUUUAUGGUGGCAUCAUUAUAGGAUUAAAGAUUUAUUGGUAAUGGAUGGGGAUGCGUCUGAUUAGCUUGUUGGCGGGGUAACGGCCCACCAAGGCAACGAUCAGUAGGGGUUCUGAGAGGAAGGUCCCCCACAUUGGAACUGAGACACGGUCCAAACUCCUACGGGAGGCAGCAGUGAGGCAUAUUGGUCAAUGGGCGAGAGCUUGAACCAGCCAAGUAGCGUGCAGGAUGACGGCCCUAUGGGUUGUAAACUGCUUUUAUAGGGGAAUAAAGUGAGCUACGUGUAGUUUAUUGCAUGUACCCUAUGAAUAAGGACCGGCUAAUUCCGUG
rnacentral:rRNA from 1 species